rnacentral:rRNA from 1 species
AGAGUUUGAUCCNGGCUCAGAACGAACGCUGGCGGCGUGGAUAAGACAUGCAAGUCGAACGAGAACUGUGAAUAGCUUGCUAAUUGCAGUGAAAGUGGCGGACGGGUGCGUAACACGUGAGCAACCUGCCCUGAAGUGGGGGAUAGCCCUCCGAAAGGAGGAUUAAUACCGCAUGUGGUCUUCGGAUCAAAGGUGGCUUCGGCUAUCGCUUCAGGAUGGGCUCGCGGCCUAUCAGCUUGUUGGUGAGGUAACGGCUCACCAAGGCGACGACGGGUAGCUGGUCUGAGAGGACGAUCAGCCUCACUGGAACUGAGACACGGUCCAGACACCUACGGGUGGCAGCAGUCGAGAAUCAUUCACAAUGGACGAAAGUCUGAUGGUGCAACGCCGCGUGGAGGAUGACGGUCUUCGGAUUGUAAACUCCUGUCAUCUGGGAGUAAGCCUUGUUCGUUAAUAGCGUGCAAGGUUGAUAGUACCAGAAGAGGAAGGGACGGCUAACUUCGUGCCAGCAGCCGCGGUAAUACGAAGGUCCCAAGCGUUGUUCGGAAUCACUGGGCGUAAAGAGUAUGUAGGCGGCAAGGAAAGUCAGAUGUGAAAUCUCUGGGCUCAACCCGGAAACUGCAUCCGAUACUCCCUUGCUUGAGUAAUGGAGGGGUAGCUGGAAUUCUCGGUGUAGCAGUGAAAUGCGUAGAUAUCGAGAGGAACACUCGUGGCGAAGGCGAGCUACUGGACAUUUACUGACGCUGAGAUACGAAGGCCAGGGUAGCGAAAGGGAUUAGAUAC